rnacentral:lncRNA from 1 species
CGCAUAAUAGUUCGCAUAACAAUAAAUUAUAAGAGUAUGAACUCAUUCUUGGUAGACUCAUACAAGCGGACCCGUCAGGUACUGAAUCCUAUUUCCUAAAAUGACCCUGAUGGAUUUCUACUUAUACGGUAGUCCUGCCGGAUGUCCUCAUAUAAAAUGAUCUUGACGGACUUCCACAUUGAAAAUAGUCCGGGCGGACUUCCACAUAAAAGAUAGUCCUGAUGAGCUUCCACAUUUACGGUAAUUUCAUGGCCAUGGACUUGCAUUCAUUCAUACGUCCCAUAAAAGGGCUUUCAUAUACUGGUGCACACUGUUCUUCAUACAAUUUAAAAAGGCUCAAUCCAACCGAACCUCCCCCAAAGCCACAGUUAAAUCAAAUGCAUAUGCAAUCUCAUACAUGUCCAUCCAAACCUCCGCAAAGCCACAGUUAUAAAUAUAUGCACAUCAAACACAUGC